UCAUUGCUGGAAUACACGCCCUCACGGGCGCUACCCAGAUACCCUUUGUGAACUUAUACCUACAAUUGUUGCCUCGGCAUUGGUUGGGUUUUCUCUCUCGAGAGCCCCCUCUGGCCCUCUCUUUCCCUUUUGGGACGGGGGCGGCACGAGGAGCCGACCGGCCGACGGCCCCACUAUAAACUCUUUAUUUGUACACUGUAUCUUCUGAGUAACAACUAUAAAUGAAUCAAAACUUUCAACAACGGAUCUCUUGGUUCUGGCAUCGAUGAAGAACGCAGCGAAAUGCGAUAAGUAAUGUGAAUUGCAGAAUUCAGUGAAUCAUCGAAUCUUUGAACGCACAUUGCGCCCGCUGGUAUUCCGGCGGGCAUGCCUGUUCGAGCGUCAUUUCAACCCUCAAGCCUAGCUUGGUGUUGGAGCACUACCUGUCACAGGGUAGGCUCUGAAAUUUAGUGGCGGGCUCGCUAGAAUUUUGAGCGUAGUAAUUUUUAUACCUCGUUUGUAAAGACUAGCGGUGCUUUUCUUGCCGUAAAACCCCCCAACUUUCUGA
rnacentral:rRNA from 1 species